rnacentral:rRNA from 1 species
AUUGAACGCUGGCGGCAGGCCUAACACAUGCAAGUCGAGCGAGCGGCGGACGGGUGCGUAAUGCCUGGGAAUUGCCCAGUCGAGGGGGAUAACAGUUGGACACGACUGCUAAUACCGCAUACGAUUGGCUUGCCCAGGUGGGCUUCGCUAGUUGGGAAUGUAAUGGCUUACCAAGGCGACGAUCCCUAGCUGGUCUGAGAGGAUGUGCAGCCACACUGGAACUGAGACACGGUCCAGACUCCUACGGGAGGCAGCAGUGGGGAAUAUUGCACAAUGGGGGAAACCCUGACGCAGCAAUGCCGCGUGUGUGAUGAAGGCCUUCGGGUUGUAAAGCACUUUCAGCGGGGAGGCGUUACUCGCUGAGGAAGCACCGGCUAACUCCGUGCCAGCAGCCGCGGUAAUUC